rnacentral:rRNA from 1 species
GAGAAAGUAAGAAAGGGCGAAUGGUGGAUGCCUAGGCUCAUUCAGGCGAUGAAGGACGUGAUAAGCUGCGAUAAGCGACGGGUAGGUGCAAAUAACCCUUGAUCCGUUGAUUUCCGAAUGGGACAACCCAGACAUGUGAAGCAUGUCUACUCUGCCUUGUGCAGAGAGCUAACCGGGGGAACUGAAACAUCUUAGUACCCCGAGGAAGAGAAAAUAAAUAAUGAUUCCCUUAGUAG